CGACGUUGUCCAUCAGUCAUGUUUCGCCUUUAAACAUUGACCCGGCAACCACUGUAAUUGAUAAACAAAUCGAACACAGCAGCUUGGAUUAAACGCUUCAACUAAUAGCAUUAUUAACUCAUAUAAUUUUUCAACCAUUUCCCAUAAAAAUUUCUCUCUUUUGGAAUACAACUUAGCAAGAGAGCGGUCAUUGGAAAUCCACCACGAAAAUUUAAUGGAAUUGAGAGUCGCCGAGCAUGAGAAACGAGAGCACAAAAUUAAAAGAAAAUGAAGGUUUGCCAAAAGAGUCGCCGCGCCGCGAAUCUAUAGGAAAAAUCGAUUUCAAACAACUUAUGUAAUGGAAAACAAGAUGCAUUUUAAUUAAAUAUAAUUAUAUCUCUAAAUACUUACAGCGGACCUGGCAACGGGGGCAAUACGGGAGACUGUUGAUACGAACAUUUUGAUUUGUUUUUAUGUAAGUUGCUUGAAGAUCAACAAGAAA